ACUUCCUGGCGCCGCCGUCCAAGCCUCCCGCUCGGCGCCCCCGGCUCCCGCCCGCCGCCGCCGCCGCCGCCGCCCUACCUGGUGAAGCAGUACUCGCAGUGGUUGCCCCGCUCGUUGACCGUGAGCACGUAGGCAUAGGCCGGGCAGGAGAACAGCAAGUCCCCCACCUGGAAGGGCUGCAGAGCCCGCAGCCCCCGGCCUUUGCCCGGGCUGCAGAAGCGCUCCAGGCCGCCGAGGCCCUCGGCCCUCAUGGUGGCGGCGGGGCGCGGCCGCCGGCUGUGCCCGAGCUGCGGCUCCCGGCGAGCUGUUAUUGGAGACGCGUCACCUAGAGCUGCGGGGGGCGGGGUGGGAGCCGCCCGGCGGACGCGGCGGCGGCUCCCCGCUCCCCGGAAGGGAGGGCGGCCCCGCCCGGGCCUCGCGCGCCCCCGCGGGGAGGGGGACGGGCCCGGCGGCCCCGCCUAGCGCCGCGACCCUCGGCGGCCGCCCCGCGCGCGCUCCGGGCCGUUUCCGGUGUGGCCGCGACAAAGAGCCGCAGCCCCUGUGGCUUCUGCGAGGAGGCGUGAGGCGUGUGCGCCUCCGCGGCGUCUCCACGGAGCGAGCGGGACGCGCCCUCCUCCUCGGUGGGAGGGAGGGGGGUCACCUGCGGGGACCAGGUAUCCGAGGGCCACCCCUAGACAGUCAGCCUGGCCCGAAGGAUGACCAGCCCCCGGUAAAUAGAAGGGGGCGAAGCCAGCUCCGAAACCUUACGUUCGCUGUCCCUUGUAAAGACCCUAGAGGCAGUGAUCGGGGAACGCCAAGGAGAAAGCGGCAGAGGGGAAACCACAGUAGAGAAGUUUGGUGUGCAGAGGGUUGAAGUGUGCUUUUCCAAGGUUAGAGGUUUUUAAACCUUGUGGCUUUAAUGGGAACGUAGUUUGCCCUCUGCUCCUCUAGUGGAAUUACAUGGACGGAAGAGGAAAUGCAUUGGCCGGCCCAGCUCACCGAGUCUCUGAGGCAUGCUGCGAACGUUGCAGAGGAAGCCAGAGAGAACCUUGCCUUCAAGGAAUUUAGGCUGUUGGGGGAUAAUGCGAUGCUGUGGCCAGUGUCCAGGACACUGCGCUAGAGUUUGCAGUAGUUUUAAUAUGCUUGACCACCCACGAACUGUGAUCUUAGAAAAGUCACUUGGGUUAGGAGUCAAAGGAUUUAAAGCCCACAAAGCCUGAAACGUAAAUCCUAUACACAUGCACGCUAUUACUUUUCAUAUGAGAAAGGAAAAUAUAAUCCGUGUUCCACAUGAUUAUGUAAAGACUGGAAUUGAUGUACAUGCAGUAAAGACUAAAAUUGUGACGAGAUCAUUUAGCAGAAACCACUACUUCAAAAUAGGACCUCAAACAGUUACCUGUGUAAGUUCAGGACUGGUUGAGCAAAGGGAAAGGAUUAAUAUGAUUGGAGAUGUAAAAUCAGUGGAAUUUUUGGCAUUUCAGUAAAAUGUCUUUAUCAGCUGGGUGUGGUGGCUCAGCCCUGUAAUCCCAACACUGUGGGAGGCCAAGGUGGGAGGAUCAUUUGAGCCCAGGAAUUGGAGAGUUGGAGACCAGCUUGGGCAACAUAAAGACCCCGUCUCUAUGGGAAAUUAACCACCUCUCAAGUGGUGCUGAGGUGGGAGGAUAGCUUGAGCCUGGGAAGUCAAGGUUGCAGUGAGCUGUGGUGACUCCAUUAUACUCCAGCCUGGGUGACAGAGCAGGACCUUGUCUCAAAAGAAAACAAAAAAGCCCUUAUUAGUGGCAAACUAAAUAAGCCUCUAACCCGUCUUCAAGUAAAGGAAGUUAUGAUAGUAUUUUCAUUUAUGCAUUUUAAGAAACUUCGACUGACUAUGGCCAGCAACUGGGAUAGAAAGAUGGACAUCAGCCGGCUGUGGUGGCUCACGCCUGUAAUCCCAGCACUUUGGGAGGCCGAGGUAGGCGGAUCACCUGAGGUCGAGAGUUCAAGACCAGCCUGACCAACAUGGAGAAACCUCAUCUCUACUAAAAAUACAAAAUUAGCCAGGUGUGGUGGUGCAUGCCUGUAAUCCCAGCUACUCGGGAGGCUGAGGCAGGAGAAUCGCUUGAACCUGGGAGGUGGAGGUUGCUGUGAGCCAAAAUCGCACCAUUGCACUCCAGCCUGCGCAAGAAGAGCGAAACUCUGUCUCAAAAAAAAAAAAAAAAAAAAAGUGGACAAAAUGUAGUCCUAGGUCCUUGCAUUUGGCACAUUCAAGUUUGAUAAUACCAUUAGUUAUUGAGUAUUGUUGACCAGGCAUCGUGCUCCAUCAUUAAACACAUUAUCUGGUUUAUCUUUACAACAGGCUAAUGAGUUAGGUAUUAUGCCCCUCAUUGCCAAAAUUAGGAAGGAAACUAAGACCCAGAAGGAAUGAUUUUCAAGGCCACACAAUAAAUUGCAGAAUUUGGUUUCCAAGUCAGUCUGAAUUCAAGGUCCAUGUUCCUAACCACAGUGUUUUGCUGCAAACAAACACAGUUCACUGGGAUAAGUGCAGUUAUGGUGGCUUGUACAAAAUGUUCUGUGGUAGUACAGGCAGGGAGUGACAGCUUUAGCCUGCUAAACAGUCAAGACAGGCAUCACAUUCAAGUAACGUUAGAGCUGAGCCUGAAGGAUGGACAGGAUUUUGCAAGUGGAGGUGGGGAGAAGAGUUUUCUGGGCAGAGAGAACUGCGUACAAAGACAGAAGACCCUGAAAGCACAGAGCUUGUAGUUGGGGGCCCCUGAGCAUCUGGAAGAGAGGACAGGAAAUGAGGCAGGAACAGCUGAAGAGCAUCUUCUCCAGAGGUGAGUUCUGCCCCAGAGGCCAUGGGAGAGCCAGUUAAAGCGUUUAAGUGAGGGGUGGCACAUUGAGUCCAGUGUUUUAGACUGAUCUGCCAGCAGCAUUGUGGGUUGGCUGGGGUGCCAACAUUCAGCACUUCAUAACUGUUUACAUGUAUAUAAACAGCCUUGGCAUGUGAGACCACUGACAGUUUGCAUUUGUCUGUGUGAUGACCUGAUUAGUGUUUACAUCCUCCACCAGACUGUACAAGCUCCAUGAGGGCAGGGAAUGAGUCUGUUUUUGUUACCCUUACAUCACCAGCUCUUAUCACUACUCCUGGAACACAGAGAGAAUGGAAAAAAUAUUUAAAGGUUGAAUAAACGUCAUGGAAUCUCAUUCUGAUUUCUGGGGGCUCUAACCAGCAAAAAGAUGAAAAGACUGACGUAGAAGUAAACAAUUACAAUACAGUAGACAGUUUACUGUUUCAAUGAUUAAUUGUGCAAAGUAAUCUACCUGUUUACUUUUUUUAUUGCAAGUAACUUUUUCCACUUUAAUUGGGAAAGAUUUCCACAGCUGAGAAAAAAGCAAUUACAUAGCUACCGAAUUAUCUUUCCAGAUGAGUGCUGGCUUAUUCUUGAGGGUGGAGGUGACUGUGAUUUGAGAACACUGGAAAAGAAACCGCCUCAUUUCAGAAAAAUCCCUGUGAUGAACUUAAAUGACUCGAGAUGGGGAAAUGGUCACUGAAGCAGUAGCCAUGAAUUUAGGAGCUUAAAUUACUAAGAAAACUGUGUUUAAAAUAAACAGCCAAAGAAUGGCAAUAAACCAGCCCGGGGAGACUGAUGACAGCGCUCUUCAUGAAGCCCAUACUUGUCACUCUGCCACUCUGUAAUCUCACAUUCCGUGAAGUCUUUGAGCAGCCAGGACCCAUCCACUUUUCCUACGCCCUCUGCUCCAUAACGUAGGAGGUAUGGAAUUUGAAAGGAGUGUUUUUGGUUACUUUGCCUCACUGAAACUCAGGAGAAGUGGUACAAGGACGAAAACUCCUUUGCUUAAUUUCUCUAACCUAGAAGUUGAUCUAAUUUAUGAGUAAAAGAUCCUUCCAACCACAGAUUAGCACAUGAAAGAAAUAGCUCUGGCCUAGGGAAAUGAAGCCUUAGCAAAGAAGGUAUCCCAGUGAACGUGAGCAAAGGGCCUAGAUGCUGUAUAGUUCUGCAUCUAUGUCUACAUGUCACUUAUUGAGGACAUACUAUGUACUUACACUGUGAUAGAUCCUAGUCAUACCAAGGUGUAAAGACCAACAUACAUGAAAACAGUUAUGAAGUGCUGAAUGUUGGCACUCAUAGAUAUUAGGUUCCAAUCCCUGGAAUCUAUAAAUGGCUUCAAAGGGUCUUGCAAAUGUGUUUUAAGGAUCUUGAGAGAGUGAGAGUAUCCUGGAACAUCCAGGUGGGUUCUCUGUGCAGUUGCAAGUUUUCUGAUGAAGGACAGAAGGAAAUUUGACACAGACAGGAGAGGAGGCAGCAAUGUGACUAUGGAGGCAGUGAUGAGAGGGAUACAGUGAUGGGCUAAGGAAUGCUGGCAGCCACCAGAGCUGGAAGAGGCAAGGAACACCUUUCCCCUAGAGCCUCGGGAGGGAGUGUGGCUUUGCCAAUACCCUCACUUCAGCCUGUUAAUCUAAUUUCAGACUUCUGGCCUCUAGAACUAUGAGAGAAUAAAUUUCUGUUGUUUUAAGACACCUGUUUUGUGGUAAUUUGUCAUAGCAGCCACAGGGAGCUAAUAAAAUAAUCCAAUAAAAUUUUAAUAGGGAGCUGAACAAAGUGCAGUAGGAAGGCUUCACAGAGAACCUGACAUUUUAGCUUCUAGAAGGAAGAGGAAAGAUUGACCAAGGGAAAGCAAAGUUCCCAAAAUGGGCUUAAGACUAACAGUGCAGAGCUGGGCAUGGUGGCUCAUGCCUGUAAUCCCAGCAGUUUAGGAGGCUGAGGUAGGUGGAUCACUCGAGCCCAAGAGUUUGAGACCAACCUUGGCAAUGUGAUGAAACCCCAUCUCUACAACAAGAGCAACACAUUAGCUGGGCGUGGUGGCAUGCACCUGUAGUCCCAGCUAAUCAGGAGGCUGAGGAAGGAGGAUCGCCUGAGCCUGGGAGGCAGAGGUUUCAGUGAGCUUUGAUCAUGCCACUGCACUCCAGCCUGGGCAAUGGAGCUAAGCCUUGUCUCAAAAAUAAAAAAAAUAGGCUGGGAAUGGUGGCUCACACGUGUAAUCUCCGCACUUGGGGAGGCUGAGGCCGGUGGAUCACAAGGUCAGGAGACUGAGACCAUCCUGGCCAACACGGUGAAAUCCCGUCACUACUAAAAAUGCAAAAAAUUAGCCAGGUGUGGUGGUGUGUGCCUGUAAUCCCAGCCACUUGGGAGGCUGAGGCAGGAGAAUACCUUGAAACCGGGAGGUGGAGGUUGCAGUGAGCCCAGAUUGUGCUAUUGCACUCCAGCCUAGCCACAGAGUGAGACUGUCUCAAUAAAUAAAUAAAUAAUAAAGACCACAGUUGAAAUUCACUGGGGUAGGAGAGACUUUGACAGUCCAAUGGACAAUUUUUCUUGGACUUAACGAAUGUUUCCAUAGCUCUCACUAUGUACCAGGUGUACCUUUAAAAUAUAUUCUCAUAUAAUCCUUCUAAUGACAUUCCACAGAGGAGAAUACCAAAUUGAGAGGUGAAGCUAGCUGGACUUCCUGGGUCGAGUGGGGGCUUGGAGAACUUUUCUGUCUAGCUAGAGGAUUGUAAAUGCACCAGUCAGGACUCUGUAAAAACACACCAAUCAGUGCUCUGUGUCUAGCUAGAGGAUUGUAAAUGCACCAAUCAGCACUCUGUAAAAACGCACCAGUCAGUGCUCUGUGUCUAGCUAAAGGAUUGUAAAUGCAACAAUCAGCACUCUGUGUCUAGCUAAAGGAUUGUAAGUAUACCAGUCAGCACUCUGUAAAAUGGACCAAUCAGCUUUCUGUAAAAUGGACCGAUCAGCAGGAUGUGGGCGGGGCCAAAUAAGGGAAUAAAAGCUGGCCACCCAGGCCAGCAGUGGCAACCCGCUCGGGUCCCCUUCCACACUGUGGAAGCUUUGUUCUUUUGCGCUUCACAAUAAAUCUUGCUGCUCCUGACUCUGGAUGUGCACUACCUUUAUGAGCUGUAACACUCACUGCAAGGGUCUGCGGCUUCAUUCCUGAAGUCAGCGAGACCAUGAACCCACCAGGAGGAACAAACAACUCCGGACGCGCCACCUUUAAGAGCUGUAACACUGACUGCGAAGGUCUGUGGCUUCACCCCUGAAGUCAGCGAGACCAUGCACCUACCCCAGGAAGAAACUCCAGACACAUCUGAACAUCUGAAGGAACAAACUCCGGACACACCAUCUUUAAGAACUGUAACACUCAUGGCGAGGGUCUGCAGCUUCAUUCUUGAAGUCAGCGAGACCAAGAACCCACCGGAAGGAAUAAAUUCCAGACACAGAAUCACAGAAGUGACAUGUAUGAACAAGCUGUCUAGCAGUGAGUCCAGGCUCAGAACCACUCCACCAUGCUGCCUCUCUGUUCAGCCAGAGCUACAGCUUUCCUUAGAGUACUUGGGAUGAAGGUGGAUGGGCAGGAGUGGGCCCCAUCAUGAAACCCAUGAGCCUAGGAGCUAGACGGCACUGUGUAGGCACGUGAGUCAGAAGAAUUUUGGCUGACAUGAUCCGAGUUUUGCUGUAGAAAGUUCAUUUUUUAGCUAAAUAGAGAAUACACUAGAAGGGGCUGAGGAGACAGAGGGAACUGAGGCGCCUGAUGCAAUAAAGGGUCCAGAGGAGAGAUGUUACUGGAAUGAACAAGGGCAGUGACGGUGGCAAUGGGAAGGAGGGACAUGGAUUUGAAGAACUUUUAAUUAACAGGACACGGUAAUUGGGGCGAGUGAAGAGAAAGGAGAGGGAAUAUGAACCAUAAAAAAUAUGUCCAAGGACAACUGACAUCAUCACCUCCAUCCAGUCCUUCCAGUUCAUUCCCCCCCGCCCCCCACUUGAGCCUUGUGUUUAUUCCCCAAACAAGAUUUUGUUAUUUCUUCAUUCGCCAUAUCUCUUGUCUAAUCUUUUAUUUCCAUUCUUAAUGCCACUCAGCCCUUAAGUCUUUAUGUCCGGUUUUGUGCAGUAGACUCUCAACAGCAGAGUGAGUUCAAAUUUUGAGAUAUUAGCCUGGGAUCAUACAUUCCAACUCUGUGUUUCCUCUUACC
rnacentral:lncRNA from 1 species